GAGGCGUUUUGUCUAUCACCGAAAGCUUUGUGCCUAAGACCUUUUUGACCAGCGAUCACUCUGGCUGGUUCUCGGUGGAAGCACGGUGUCAGCAGAUCUUCAUGCAACAGUCAUCAAUGUCUGAUACGGUGGUUGCGCAUCUGGUUCCACUUGAUGACUCUCUAAAACAAGACCAUUCACUCCCAAAACUGUCUAUCUCUCAAGGCCCAAACACUAUUGGCCGCGCCAAUAUUCCUCUAUCUGACAAGCGACUCAGCCGAAAACACCUCACUUUAACUGCCUCCGCUGACGGCUCCGCUGCUUUAUUCGUCGAAGGAACUAAUCCCGUGGUUGUUAAAUCUGGUGACCAAAGAAAGAAACUGAUUUCUAGUGAACACUUGUCAAUCGCUAGCGGUGAUAUCAUAGAGUUGAUUCCUGGACAUUAUUUUUUCAAGUAUGUUACGUUGCCUCAGAAGAGACCUUCUAGUCAUGAAUCAACAAAGGAAGACCUUAAUCCAAAGAAAUUGCGACAACAAGUUGAACCUGAAUAUGAAGACGGAAGAACAUCUGAGGAGGCUAUACGAAAUUUUCAUGUUUCAUCUGAUAAGUUACCGUUAACAUAUCGGUUACUGCAAGUUCAAGGCCUCCCAGCGUGGGCUAAUACCUCUUGUGUUUCUAUUCGGGAUGUGAUUCAGGGGGAUAUUGUUGUUGCUAUUUUAUCAAAUUACAUGGUGGAUAUUGAUUGGCUGUUACCCGCUUGUUCUACCCUUGCCAAAAUUCCCAAUGUGUUGGUAAUUCAUGGAGAGGGUGACAGUACAGUAGAACAUAUGAAGAGGAAGAGACCUGCAAAUUGGAUUUUUCACAAACCCCCACUACCUAUUGCAUAUGGGACGCAUCAUUCAAAGGCCAUGAUUCUGGUCUAUCCUCAGGGAGUAAGAAUUAUUGUGCAUACAGCAAACUUGAUAUAUGUUGACUGGAAUAACAAAACUCAAGGUUUGUGGAUGCAAGAUUUCCCCUGGAAGGAUUUAAAUAGUCCAAGCAAAGCCUGUGGAUUUGAAACAGAUUUGAUUGAUUACCUCAGUGCAUUGAAGUGGCCUGAAUUCAGUGCUAAUAUACCAGCCCUUGGCAACUUCAAAAUCAAUUCAUCUUUUUUCAGAAAGUUCGACUAUAGUAGUGCUAUGGUCCGGUUAAUCGCAUCAGUCCCUGGCUAUCAUUCGGGUCCCAAUUUGAAAAAAUGGGGACAUAUGAAGCUACGAACCGUUCUCGAAGAGAGUAUUUUUGACAAAGAGUUCCAGAAAUCUCCUCUUAUAUAUCAGUUCUCAUCCCUUGGUUCAUUGGAUGAGAAGUGGAUGGGUGAGCUGAAAUGCUCAAUGUCGUCAGGUUUAUCAGAGGAUAAGACACCACUUGGAAUUGGGGAACCGCUAAUAAUAUGGCCAACUGUGGAGGAUGUCAGAUGCUCUUUAGAGGGUUAUGCAGCUGGAAAUGCCAUUCCAAGUCCACUCAAGAAUGUGGAUAAAGAAUUCUUGAAGAAGUACCGGGCCAAAUGGAAGGCAAGCCAUACUGGCCGUUGUCGUGCGAUGCCACAUAUAAAGACAUUCUUACGAUACAACGGUCAGAAGCUAGCUUGGCUCUUGCUGACAUCAUCAAAUCUUAGUAAGGCUGCCUGGGGAGCACUCCAGAAGAAUAAUUCUCAGUUGAUGGUUCGUUCUUAUGAGUUGGGAGUGCUAUUUCUACCAUCUGCUAAAAAACAUGGUUGUGGAUUUUCUUGUACAAAUAAUGAUGGUUCAUCCAAGAGUGAAAGUGGUACAAUAGAAAAUACGAAGUCACAGAAAACUAAGCUAGUGACCUUGACAUUGCGAGGGAGCCGGAAUAUAGAUGAAUCCUCUGAAACAAUUCCUUUGCCUGUACCUUAUGAACUCCCUCCUCAACGAUAUUCCUCUGAAGAUGUUCCUUGGUCAUGGGAUAGGCAAUACAGCAAGAAGGAUGUGUAUGGUCAAGUUUGGCCUCGGAAAGUUCAACUAUAUGCUUGCCAAGAUUCCUGAUUCAUUAGAUGUGCUUGAAGUUGUGUAGUUGGAUGUCUUCCUUGAAGACAUGACCUGGACUUUUAGAAGGAUGAGCGUAUGAGAAGUUUGCAGUUUGUGUAUGACUGGGGUUGGUUCUAUUUUCUGAAGUUUCAUAUCUCAUGCUGAAGUUGGACGAACUUCAAGCAGGACUUGUUUGUGGAUUGCCACGGUAAAAAUAUUAGGAUUAUUUUCAAGAACUGAUUUCCUGGCAGAUUUUUCUGGGCAAGACUGCGUUACUUAACUGAGUUCCUAUAUUUGAGAAGUUCGUAUUUUUUAGGUCCAGAGUUGGUUAUGCAUUGCAGUAUAACCCCAUUAAUUGGCUGGGCAGACAGACUUUUCUUCCUAACAUCACUGUCUGUCAUUCAAGUCAGCUUGAGCUUAGAGUUGAUUGUUGUUCAAGUUCAGUUUGGCUUUGUUUGGAUCUACCCCUACCCCUAAAAGAGUGAGGGAAAAUAAUCUGAGAGAGAGCUAUAGAAACAAAAGAUGGUUCCAUUUGGGUCCACUACAACGUGAUAGCCUUGUUUUUAAUGAAAAAUAUCCAUCCUAGUGGUUAAGAGUCGUUCAAUCUUCAACAUGAGAUGGGAGAAAGGAAAAAGAUGGUGAAGCGAAAGAAGUUCGUGUGAUGAUGAGCCAUUUGUUCGGGUCUUGUCAAGGGUUGAAAUAGGCCCUUAAAAAAGAGUAUUAACUUGGGCAUGAACAUGAAAUUUGAAACAGGCCCAAAAAAAUUCAGGUAACACGCUAAACCCGAUCUAAUAGGUUCGAUUGACGUACCUUAUCACCUCCGAGACGAUAAAUUGUGAUCACGAUGUGUAAUCACUGAGACCAUAGGAAACACGGUAUGCAUUAACGGUUCACUAAAUAUAGAAUAUUCUAUUUUUAUUUUUUCAAAGUUUAAUAGUAUUGUAUCGAACUGCGAUAACCUACGGGUCUAAUUUUUAAGCUGGGAUACAGCCAAAUGGCCUAUAGGCUUGGCAGAC